CACUAGCGGAAACAUACACAAACGGCUUACACAAGGGUAAGCAAUAGCCAUUAGUGAAAGAAAGAAAAACUAAACAUCUACACAAGUAAUAUGAUUCAUUUUAGAUCAUAUACAUUGCAUCCAUCUUUUACAUUUAGGAUUCUUUGCAUUUCAUUACAUAAUUUCAUCAUUUCUUUCUUACAUCACAUUUACCUCAAAAUAAGCUUUACAUUCUUU
rnacentral:lncRNA from 1 species